GACGUAGGGGGCCAGCGUUGCUCGGAAUUACUGGGCGUAAAGGGUCCGUAGGCGGUGCGGUAAGUCGGGAGUGAAAUCUCUGGGCUUAACUCAGAGGCUGCUUCCGAAACUACCGUGCUAGAGUGCGAGAGAGGCAAGUGGAAUUGCGGGUGUAGCGGUGAAAUGCGUAGAUAUCCGGCAGGAACAUCCGAGGCGAAAGCGGCUUGCUGGAUCGCAACUGACGCUGAGGGACGAAAGCUAGGGGAGCAAACAGG
rnacentral:rRNA from 1 species